CCAUUCAGAUUCACCAGGACACGAGACUCACACAACAUGUGCCUCUGCUCAAAAAGACCCUGGAACUGUUAGUUUGCAGAGUCAAAGCUAUGCUCACCCUCAACAAUUGUAGAGAGGCUUUCUGGCUGGGCAAUCUAAAAAACCGGGACUUGCAGGGUGAAGAGAUUAAGUCCCAAAAUUCCCAGGAGAGCACAGCAGAUGAGAGUGAGGAUGACACGUCAUCCCAGGCCUCCAAGAGCAAAGCCACUGAGGUAUCUCUGCAAAAGGCACCAGAGUCAGGCACUGAUGGUUGCAUUUUGUUAAUUGUUCUGAGUUGGUGGAGCAGAACUUUGCCUACUUAUGUUUAUUGUCAAGUACUUCUAUGCCCAUUUCCAUUCCCUCCAUAACAGCUUCUGUGCUUAUAUAAUUUUUUGGGACCCAGAAAAAACAACCACACAAUCUUAGAAUCGCUACUGAGUAUCUCGAGUUGUGGCAUUUGUUAUAGAGGUGACAAUUCUCUGCAUUAUAGCCUCUCAUUUUCCAUGAAUCCAUAUCUGAAAUCAUUUUAGAAGGGAGAAGUCAUCGAAGUAUUUUCUGAGUGUUGAAAAGAAUGAGUUAAACCAUUUAAACACAUUUGAAACAUACGAAAAUAGAAAUGUGAAAGCAUUUGGUGAAAGCCAAAGCACAGAGUCAGAAGCUGCCACCUUAGAGAACUGAAAUAAAAAUAGAAGUUCUUACUCUUUUUUGUGGUACAGAUGCUUUUGAGAAUUUGAAGAAAGCUAAAUAAAAAUGUAUAC